UACGUAGGGCGCAAGCGUUGUCCGGAAUUAUUGGGCGUAAAGAGCUCGUAGGUGGUUUGUCGCGUCUGUCGUGAAAGCCCGGGGCUUAACUCCGGGUCUGCGGUGGAUACGGGCAGACUAGAGGCAGGUAGGGGAGAACGGAAUUCCCGGUGUAGAGGUGAAAUUCGUAGAUAUCGGGAGGAACACCGGUGGCGAAGGCGGCGACCUGGGUAGAUACUGACGCUGAGGUGCGAAAGCGUGGGGAGCAAACGGG
rnacentral:rRNA from 1 species